GACGAACGCUGGCGGCGUGCCUAAUACAUGCAAGUUGAGCGCUGAAGGUUGGUACUUGUACCAACUGGAUGAGCAGCGAACGGGUGAGUAACGCGUGGGGAAUCUGCCUUUGAGCGGGGGACAACAUUUGGAAACGAAUGCUAAUACCGCAUAAAAACUUUAAACACAAGUUUUAAGUUUGAAAGAUGCAAUUGCAUCACUCAAAGAUGAUCCCGCGUUGUAUUAGCUAGUUGGUGAGGUAAAGGCUCACCAAGGCCAUGAUACAUAGCCGACCUGAGAGGGUGAUCGGCCACAUUGGGACUGAGACACGGCCCAAACUCCUACGGGAGGCAGCAGUAGGGAAUCUUCGGCAAUGGACGAAAGUCUGACCGAGCAACGCCGCGUGAGUGAAGAAGGUUUUCGGAUCGUAAAACUCUGUUGGUAGAGAAGAACGUUGGUGAGAGUGGAAAGCUCAUCAAGUGACGGUAACUACCCAGAAAGGGACGGCUAACUACGUG
rnacentral:rRNA from 1 species